rnacentral:tRNA from 1 species
GGCGCUAUUGGCAAAUUGGAAUAAGCCACUACACUUUCAAUGUAGUCAUUGCGGGUUCGAGUCCAGUUGGCGCUA